AUGCGUCCUUAUGAUUCCUUUGCUUCUACCUUGCAUUGCAUGAUGCCAUCUGUUAAAGUAGAUUUGAAAAAGUAUUUGCUUGGAUAUGAUCAGAUAUACCCUAUUAGUGGCAUUACUCACAUUAAUGAUGAUCACAGUUACUUUCCUCGUGCUAGACCUAUGCUUAAUGAAACAUAUCAUUCUUAUGCUAGUCUUGAGCUUAAUGAAAAAUAUCAUCCUCAUGUUAGUGUUGACUUUGCUGAUUUCUACCAUCAUAAACAUGUGCUUUAUAGCUAUGCUUAUGUAAUUGGAUAUUCGAUUGAUGACUUAGAGGGUAUUAUCCCUACCACUUGCAUUGUCUCUUUCGUUGAGUGCUCUUUCAGGUUCUUGCUUGUGCACGAAUCACUACAUGCUGACCAAGUUCGAGAUGACAUUCCCUGGGACCCCGGUGGACCCAUGGCAUGGGGAUGA
rnacentral:rRNA from 1 species